GACGAACCGUCCAAACGUUAUUCGGAAUCACUGGGCUUAAAGGGUGCGUAGGCGGCGCGGAAAGUUGGGUGUGAAAUCCCUCGGCUCAACCGAGGAACUGCGCCCAAAACUACCGUGCUCGAGGAAGAUAGAGGUGAGCGGAACUUAGGGUGGAGCGGUGAAAUGCGUUGAUAUCCUAAGGAACACCGGUGGCGAAAGCGGCUCACUGGAUCUUUUCUGACGCUGAGGCACGAAAGCGAGGGUAGCGAACGGG
rnacentral:rRNA from 1 species